CGUUCUAUUGCCGAAUUGGUAAAGGCAUCGCCGAUCACAGGCGAGGGUGCGGGUUCGAAACCUUCUGGAACGA
rnacentral:tRNA from 1 species